GAUGAACGCUGGCGGCGUGCCUAAUACAUGCAAGUCGAGCGAAUGGAUUAAGAGCUUGCUCUUAUGAAGUUAGCGGCGGACGGGUGAGUAACACGUGGGUAACCUGCCCAUAAGACUGGGAUAACUCCGGGAAACCGGGGCUAAUACCGGAUAACAUUUUGAACCGCAUGGUUCGAAAUUGAAAGGCGGCUUCGGCUGUCACUUAUGGAUGGACCCGCGUCGCAUUAGCUAGGUGGUGAGGUAACGGCUCACCAAGGCAACGAUGCGUAGCCGACCUGAGAGGGUGAUCGGCAACACUGGGACUGAGACACGGCCCAGAAUCCUACGGGAGGCAGCAGUAGGGAAUCUUCCGCAAUGGACGAAAGUCUGACGGAGCAACGCCGCGUGAGUGAUGAAGGCUUUCGGGUCGUAAAACUCUGUUGUUAGGGAAGAACAAGUGCUAGUUGAAUAAGCUGGCACCUUGACGGUACCUAACCAGAAAGCCACGGCUAACUACGUGCCAGCCGCCGCAGUAA
rnacentral:rRNA from 1 species